rnacentral:misc_RNA from 1 species
CCGAGUCGAGGGUCCCCGCGGCCCGAGCCUCCCACCCCGUGUCGUUGCGACCCCACCUUGUUGCUUUGGCGGGCGCCCAGGGGUGUAAGCCCCCGCGGACUGCCCGCCGGCAGCACACCCACAUUCCCCUUGAAGCGCCCUCCGGGGCGUCUGAUCUGAGCAAAGCGAAAAUGACAA